rnacentral:sRNA from 1 species
UUUUUUUCUUCUUUUUUU